rnacentral:rRNA from 1 species
UAUUGGUCAAUGGGCGUGAGCCUGAACCAGCCAAGUAGCGUGCAGGAUGACGGCCCUAUGGGUUGUAAACUGCUUUUAUGCGGGGAUAAAGUGCGGCACGUGUGCCGUUUUGUAGGUACCGCAUGAAUAAGGACCGGCUAAUUCCGUGCCAGCAGUCGCGGUAAUACGGAAGGUCCGGGCGUUAUCCGGAUUUAUUGGGUUUAAAGGGAGCGUAGGCCGUGGAUUAAGUGUGUUGUGAAAUGUAGGCGCUCAACGUCUGACUUGCAGCGCAUACUGGCCCACUUGAGUGCGCACAACGCGGGCGGAAUUUGUCGUGUGGCGGUGAAAUGCUUAGAUAUGACGAAGAACCCCGAUUGCGAAGGCAGCUCGCGGGAGCGCAACUGACGCUGAAGCUCGAAAGUGCGGGUAUCGAACAGG